GAUGAACGCUAGCUACAGGCUUAACACAUGCAAGUCGAGGGGCAGCACAGUGUAGCAAUACACGGGCGGCGACCGGCGCACGGGUGCGUAACGCGUAUCCAACCUUCCCGUUACUCUUGGAUAGCCUUCCGAAAGGGAGAUUAAUACAAGAUGGUAUUCAAAUUCCGCAUGUUAUUUGAAUUAAAGAUUUAUCGGUAACGGAUGGGGAUGCGUGACAUUAGAUAGUAGGCGGGGUAACGGCCCACCUAGUCUACGAUGUCUAGGGGUUCUGAGAGGAAGGUCCCCCACACUGGAACUGAGACACGGUCCAGACUCCUACGGGAGGCAGCAGUGAGGAAUAUUGGUCAAUGGUCGGAAGACUGAACCAGCCAAGUAGCGUGAAGGAUGAAGGUUCUAUGGAUUGUAAACUUCUUUUAUACGGGAAUAAAACCUCCCACGUGUGGGAGCUUGUAUGUACCGUAUGAAUAAGCAUCGGCUAACUUCGUGCCAGCCGCCGCAGUAAGAC
rnacentral:rRNA from 1 species